UGCGUAGGCGGUCCUGUAAGUUGGGUGUGAAAGCCCUCGGCUUAACCGGGGAAUUGCGCCCAAAACUGUGGGACUUGAGGGAGACAGAGGUGAGCGGAACUUAGGGUGGAGCGGUGAAAUGCGUUGAUAUCCUAAGGAACACCAGUGGCGAAAGCGGCUCACUGGGUCUCUUCUGACGCUGAGGCACGAAAGCUAGGGGAGCGAACG
rnacentral:rRNA from 1 species